rnacentral:rRNA from 1 species
UUUAACUGAAGAGUUUGAUCAUGGCUCAGAUUGAACGCUGGCGGCAGGCUUAACACAUGCAAGUCGAGCGGGGGAAGGUAGCUUGCUACUGGACCUAGCGGCGGACGGGUGAGUAAUGCUUAGGAAUCUGCCUAUUAGUGGGGGACAACAUCUCGAAAGGGAUGCUAAUACCGCAUACGUCCUACGGGAGAAAGCAGGGGAUCUUCGGACCUUGCGCUAAUAGAUGAGCCUAAGUCGGAUUAGCUAGUUGGUGGGGUAAAGGCCUACCAAGGCGACGAUCUGUAGCGGGUCUGAGAGGAUGAUCCGCCACACUGGGACUGAGACACGGCCCAGACUCCUACGGGAGGCAGCAGUGGGGAAUAUUGGACAAUGGGGGGAACCCUGAUCCAGCCAUGCCGCGUGUGUGAAGAAGGCCUUAUGGUUGUAAAGCACUUUAAGCGAGGAGGAGGCUACUUUAGUUAAUACCUAGAGAUAGUGGACGUUACUCGCAGAAUAAGCACCGGCUAACUCUGUGCCAGCAGCCGCGGUAAUACAGAGGGUGCGAGCGUUAAUCGGAUUUACUGGGCGUAAAGCGUGCGUAGGCGGCUUAUUAAGUCGGAUGUGAAAUCCCCGAGCUUAACUUGGGAAUUGCAUUCGAUACUGGUGAGCUAGAGUAUGGGAGAGGAUGGUAGAAUUCCAGGUGUAGCGGUGAAAUGCGUAGAGAUCUGGAGGAAUACCGAUGGCGAAGGCAGCCAUCUGGCCUAAUACUGACGCUGAGGUACGAAAGCAUGGGGAGCAAACAGGAUUAGAUACCCUGGUAGUCCAUGCCGUAAACGAUGUCUACUAGCCGUUGGGGCCUUUGAGGCUUUAGUGGCGCAGCUAACGCGAUAAGUAGACCGCCUGGGGAGUACGGUCGCAAGACUAAAACUCAAAUGAAUUGACGGGGGCCCGCACAAGCGGUGGAGCAUGUGGUUUAAUUCGAUGCAACGCGAAGAACCUUACCUGGCCUUGACAUACUAGAAACUUUCCAGAGAUGGAUUGGUGCCUUCGGGAAUCUAGAUACAGGUGCUGCAUGGCUGUCGUCAGCUCGUGUCGUGAGAUGUUGGGUUAAGUCCCGCAACGAGCGCAACCCUUUUCCUUACUUGCCAGCAUUUCGGAUGGGAACUUUAAGGAUACUGCCAGUGACAAACUGGAGGAAGGCGGGGACGACGUCAAGUCAUCAUGGCCCUUACGGCCAGGGC